AAACAAGCAAAUAAAUUAAAACUUUCAACAACGGAUCUCUUGGCUCUGGCAUCGAUGAAGAACGCAGCGAAAUGCGAUAAGUAAUGUGAAUUGCAGAAUUCAGUGAAUCAUCGAAUCUUUGAACGCACAUUGCGCCCGCCAGUAUUCUGGCGGGCAUG
rnacentral:rRNA from 1 species